rnacentral:rRNA from 1 species
CAGUCGCCGCGGUAAAACGGAGGGUGCAAGCGUUAAUCGGAAUUACUGGGCGUAAAGCGCACGCAGGCGGUUUGUUAAGUCAGAUGUGAAAUCCCCGAGCUUAACUUGGGAACUGCAUUUGAAACUGGCAAGCUAGAGUCUUGUAGAGGGGGGUAGAAUUCCAGGUGUAGCGGUGAAACGCGUAGAGAUCUGGAGGAAUACUGGUGGCGAAGGCGGCCCCCUGGACAAAGACUGACGCUCAGGUGCGAAAGCGUGGGGAGCAAACAGGAUUAGAUACCCCAGUAGUCCCUGUCUCUUAUAC